AGCGAACGCUGGCGGCAGGCCUAACACAUGCAAGUCGAGCGGACGUAGCAAUACGUCAGCGGCAGACGGGAGAGUAACACGUGGGAACGCGCCCUUCGGUUCGGGAUAACUCAGGGAAACUUGGGCUAAUACCGGAUACGCCCUUACGGGGAAAACUUUAUUGCCGAAGGAACGGCCCGCGUCCGAUUAGCUUGUUGGUGAGGUAACGGCCCACCAAGGCGACGAUCGGUAGCUGGUCUGAUAGGAUAACCAGCCUCACUGGGACUGAGACACGGCCGAGACUCCUGCGGGAGAGAGCAGUGGGGAAUAUUGGACAAUGGGCGCAAGCCUGAGCCAGCCAUGCCGCGUGGGUGAUGAAGGCCCUAGGGUUGUAAAGCCCUUUCGGCGGGGAAGAUAAUGACGGUACCCGCAGAAGAAGCCCCGGCUAACUUCGUGCCAGCCGCCGCCGUAACAC
rnacentral:rRNA from 1 species